GCGGGAACGAGAACGUAAACAUCAACCAUGGUGGACGAUGCUGCUGAGACCAGACCGUGGAAGGGAAGCAGGAUGACUUCUUCGGGCCUGCAGGAGGAAGAGGAGGAUGGCCGGGGAGGUGCGAGAAAGUUUUGUGGGAAGUAGAGAAGAAAGUGGAGACCUUUGACGGCUGGAUCGGCACGUCACAGGCUCACAGAUGAAAGCCAGGCUGCAGACGGGGUCGUGCUGGAGACGUCUUUACUCUGCAAGUUUCUUUCACAUGCUGAUAACCCCCCCUAUGCAUAAAAAACAAAAACUCCUUUUAAA